GCACUAGGAACGGCCUGAACCUCAAACU
rnacentral:sRNA from 1 species